GUCUACACCACAAUUAAACAGCCCCUUAGCCCGAAUCCCAUGAGCCUGAGUAAGCUGGCAGGGGCAGCCAUGGGUGUCUAAUUGCAGUGUAGACAUACCCUGAGAGCUCGGGGGAGACACUCUGCCUGUUCUCAGUUCCCAGAAGUACUGCACAACCCCUGCAGACUUGCUCUGGAACAUGCCCAGUAUAGACAGAAUAUUUGGAGAAUUUAGCUGUCAAAUUCAAAUGAGCCUCUACUGAGCAUAUGUGAAUGGAGAUUUUUCAAAAGUUUAUAAUUUGGCCAAAUUUGGGCGCUUUUUUUUUUUCCACUGGGAUAGCAAAUGGCAUAUCCCUGCCACCAGGACAACUCCCUUCUGCCAAAUUUCAAGUUCCAAAGCAUGGAGGAGCUAGAGCUUCUCAAGGAAGCAGCUAUAAGAAUUUUUUUAAAGUGGGUACUACAAGGUAUAGAGAAUAGGAGUACUUGUGGCACCUUAGAGACUAACAAAUUUAUUUGAGCAUCUAAGGUGCCCCAAGUACUCCUUUUCUUUUUGCGAUUACAGACUAACACGGCUGCUACUCUGAAAAGAGAGAAUAGGAGCUGUUGUAUCUAAAGGGAGAAGAAAAUGAGAUUAAUUUAAAAAAUAAUUCAGCCUCUCUGAGCUUGUACCUUUGCCCAACUGUUUAACUCUCUUCCCCUUACAAAAAUAUCCAUUUGCAUAUGCAUUGUUUUGCAGCAUUCCACACAAUGUGUUAACUUUUUUCAGUUUGGUGGCAGGUCUGACUUGCACUUUGACAAAUCACAUUAGUUAUAAGCAGCUAUUGACUCUGCUAUUCAGGAAGAAAGAGUCUGCAUCAGAGUAACUUUAUUGACACAUGGUGUAGUGUGGAAAUAAACACUCCUUAGGCAAACACUUAAGCAUGUGCGUAACUUUACUAACAUGAGUAAAAUUAUGUCUAUGUUUUAAGUAUGAGGUUAAGUGUUUGCCAGAAUGGAACCAUAAUUUGUUAUAGGAGUUGGUAGAAGAUUUGUAUUUGGAGAAAAUUAGUUUUGAAUAAACAUUUGUUUUACAAGUAAAUACUUUUUUUAAAAAAAGCAUUAGUCCUAGUUCCUUCUGCAUUUUUAAAACAAAAACAUUCUUUAAAGUAAUAGAAUGUUAACAAGGAAGGAAAUGAGAGUGAUGUGAGUGCUAGGAACAAUUGGAGGGGUUUUUGUUGUUGUUAACUGUUUUGUGCCACCAUUUUGUUGCUACCAGGGCUUCUAUCAUUGUAUUGAACAAGAAUUUUGCAAAUUCAAGUAGUGAUCUUGCUAUUGACCCUUCUUUACUAAAAACUGUGGCAGAGAGGUUUUAUUCCUAAAUACAUAUUCCUUUUCCGUACAUAAUUAAAUAUUUUUCUUUUUUUGUGAACAGCCCUAAGACGUGAUUUGUAGAUAUAAUUGAAUCACAUUCUGCUCUCUGAAAGCAGAACAGUUAUUCCUACUUUAAUCUAAUGUGUUCUUUUGGGUUCACAGGAAAAAUAAAGAAACUUUAAAGUAGAUACUUUUUUUUUUUUAAUGCAUAGUAGUUUGGAAUCUACUAUAAUGCAAAGUAAAGCAUUCUGUUACAAAGACAGGGAGGAUGGGACAGAAGGUUAAAGGGCAUUUUGGAAACAAACAGCUGGACCAGUUUAUUUAAACAGAUACAAGGAUGGGGAGCUGACCUCAGUUUGACUUCUAGUGGGAGGAGCAAGAAUGUCAUUUUAUUACUUUGCCCAGAAGGAAAAUGUUCUUGCAUCUGAAUUCACCCCUAAGGCAUCCAAACACAUGGCUGUUUUGCAGAAUCUGUCUACUUAUACAAAAUACAUAUUUAAGGAAGUGCCUGUGUGUAAAAUGUACUGAAAGUAGACAUCCUGAGUGGUAGUGUGGGACAAACAGGUGAGAAUGUGUUUUAUUUUAGACAGGUCUUAUUUAUAAGUAUUGGUAAAUACCAGACUAAAUAAUUCGUUGAAGUAAGAUUCAGCUACCUAAUCUACUAAUAAUGUGCGUCCUUUGGAGAAGGGGGAAGGUUGAAAAGGUUGGUUAUUUGUACCAGUAAAUGUUCUCAGUUUACUUAAGCUGUUUAGCUGUGUACUUCUUGUUCUGAGUGAAAAGAUUUUUCCUAAAUGAGGGUUUUUAUGGAGAGCUAGCAAGCAUAAAACUGCUCCCCAUAAAACUGGUCAGAUGGCUACCAGAAAGGGUCCCCCUCCUUAUUCUCCAAGGACUUCCUACUCUGUCAGGUAUUUAGAAGUCUAUGUAGUACAAGGGUGGGAUGCACAUAGGAAAAGCAAAAGUCUUCUGGGUUUACCAAAAUAAAUACCUUAUUUCUAUGUUGUUUUUCUUAUGAGAGUUGCUAUGAAAAUUGCUUUCUCCAAAUGCCAGGUUCCUGGUAUUAAACAAUUUUAUAAUUCAUCAUGGAGCUAAGACAGCUAAUGGGGGGGGAAGCAGAUACUUUAAUUGCCUUUUUUACAUGGUGUUUGUGCUACACCUGUGCUUGUAAUGAGAAUGGAGAAUUAGUCUAACCUUCUGCUCACAUUUAUUCUAAUUUUCAUGGUUCGUACAAGAUAAUGAUGAACUGAUUUGCAGCACAGUUUGUUGUAGUUUAUUUUUGUGUAUUAGAAGUGUGUAUAAAAAUUGAUACAGAACUGGUACUGAUUAAAGUAUGACCUAAUGUAUGUGUAAGAUUUACAGAAUAGGGCCCUGUGUAUAUGUGUGAGUGCUUCCAGAGUACCUUUUGGCAAGACAAGAUUGAUUAUAAUUCACAUCUUGAUUAACUUUCUGAGGACUUGUGUAAUGGAAGUCAGUCAGGAAAGUGAAAUCUAAGGAAACUAAGCGUGCUGUACUGUAGAUGUCUCUUUUAAAGACUACUGAAGUACAAACAACAUAAAGUUCUGUAUUUUCUGAACACUGUUCCAUAUCAGUUUAGAACAAGCAGAAGUCACACCAGAUUCAUGCUGGAAUGCUGUGGUACCUUUUAAUUUUAUUACAAUAAAGAUCUUGCUAAUGUGUGGAAAACACACAGUGAAGACAAGUUGAGCAUAUUGCUUCACAAAAUCUACUUUGGUGAUUUAUUUUGCCAAGUAUAAUGUGGUUUUACUUAUAACACUCCUUUUCCACUAGUAAAUACUGAAGUACAGCUUGUAAAAAAUAAGGCAGUCUUCUUAAGGAGAUCUCUCUAGAGCACUCUUAAAUCUUCGCUGAGAAGUUGGGUGAUGCUGACUUUUUUGGAGGUUAUGUUCAUUGGGUUUGCUGAUUAGUGAAAUGAGAGAGAGUGAAGUUCUACUCUAGCUUGUUGAGUAUGAUCUUAAUGCCAUUAAGGCUGUAUUCAGAAUACACUCAGGUGAGCUUUAUUUUGUAUUAUGUGCGUUAAUUUCUAUUUUACUUGUGUUCAACUUGAAUAUCAUUUUCAUCAUAACAGUUCCAAAACUAAUUGAGUUUAAAAGUUAAACUAUGAAUAUUAUUUCAGAUGACAAAUAUUAACAAUUUUUAUUUCAAAAGAGCUGCUUUUCAUUUGCAGUGGGGAUUUUUGAGUAGUACAGUAAUUGCAAUCUAACAAGAUGUUUGCUGUAAAUGGUCAGGCCUAGCGGGGGAAAACAGGAUUAUAAGUUCAAUUACUGUAUAGCCAUGACCUCGCCUUGACCUCAGUCUUUGCAUAAAGAG